rnacentral:rRNA from 1 species
UACGAGGGGGGCGAGCGUUGUUCGGAAUUAUUGGGCGUAAAGGGCGCGUAGGCGGUCGGAUAAGUCUUGUGUGAAAUCUUCGGGCUCAACUCGAAGUCUGCACAGGAAACUAUCUGGCUUGAGUGUGGGAGAGGUGAGUGGAAUUCCUGGUGUAGCGGUGAAAUGCGUAGAUAUCUGGAAGAACACCAAUGGCGAAGGCAAUGUUCUGGCUCGUUUCUGACGCUCAGGUGCGAAAGCCAGGGGAGCGAACGGG